CAAAAACGCAAAAAAACACAAAAAAACAAAAUAAUUGCUUCCAAUCAUCUUUUCUUCUCCUCUUAAUCCAAUUAGAUCAAAACCCACAACAAGAACCUCUUCCUUUCCACGCUGUGUUUCUCCGCGUACGCAUUUGAGAACUUGAAACCAGCUCCAGAUAUUUUCUUGGCUGCUUCAAAGAUAUUGGGUGUGCCGACAAGCGAGUGCAUUGUUAUUGAAGAUGCACUUGCUGGAGUCAAGGCUGCUCAAGCACUUGCUGUAUCACAAAGAACAUCUAUGAUGCUGUAAAAAAAGAGCAAUCCUAAAACGGAACAGGAUUGAAGAAUAAGGAGUUGAUAUGAUCAACAGUCUUCGCUUUUUCGGGAAAGCCGUGGCCAUCACCGUGCUGGUAUAUACACUGUACCACGCGGUUAAGAUUUGCUGCAGCAGCCACAAAACAAGGGGGAAGAGAAGAAGUAUGUGCUGUGUUGAAACCGGUAUUUAUGACGUCCCACGAGUCGCUAAUUAUACUUUGCAUCUGUUCACGUGCCUCUUCCUCACUGGCUCUUGUCUCGUACAUGUAACAUUGAACUGACUUUGGUGAAUCUCCUCUUGCCAUCUCUUCCUGUAACCAUUAAACAUAUUUCAGUGCUUUUAUGCAAUGAUGUAUUGAUGAAACCAUUUCAGUACUUAUUGUUAUCUUUUUUAUAUUUUUGAGUAAGAAAUAGUGUUACAAAACUAAA